GAUGGGUACUGCUGGACUGAUUAGUGCUGUGCGCCGGAGUUCUGCCGGAGCUCCGGCGGUUUUUCUGGAGCAGAAUUUUGUAUGCCGGAGCCGGAGUUACAUUUUCCCAACUCCGGCAAAAUGACAAGAAAACAAUUGAAAUGAGACAAAUGUCAAACGAUUGUUAGUUACUGCAAACUGUCAAUUGCUGUUAAUAGGAGAUUUUUUGUAUGUUACGUAACACAUGCUCAAAACUAAUGCGUAUAAUAUAUCACUUGAGGUUAUGACUAAAUUCAAAAUUUUUAUUUUUCGAUACGUUUCUCAAUCGGCAAACAAACUUAAAAGAAGAUUUAGUGCUUUAUCUGUAAAAUAAUGCCAAAAUGAAGAGAUUUUAGAUGAUACGCCAAAGAGAA